rfam:Erinaceus europaeus unplaced genomic scaffold scaffold00120, whole genome shotgun sequence
AUCGCUUCUUGGCCUUUUGGCUGAGAUCAAGUGUAGUGCCUGUUCUUAUCAGUUUAACGAAUUUAUUUAUAUAGGUGCCUCAGUUCCUUCGUUAAAAUACCAGCUGUUUAGGAGUAGACGGCUUCUUUUGCAGCAAAAUUGUUUCUCUUUCUCAAAAAGUAACUUUU